rnacentral:rRNA from 1 species
AUGCACGCUGGCGGCGUGCUUAGCACAUGCAAGUCGAACGGGAAAUAUUUCAUUGAGACUUCGGUGGAUUUGAUUUAUUUCUAGUGGCGGACGGGUGAGUAACGCGUGGGUAACCUGCCUUAUACAGGGGGAUAACAGUCAGAAAUGGCUGCUAAUACCGCAUAAGCGCACAGAGCUGCAUGGCUCAGUGUGAAAAACUCCGGUGGUAUAAGAUGGACCCGCGUUGGAUUAGCUAGUUGGUGGGGUAACGGCCCACCAAGGCGACGAUCCAUAGCCGGCCUGAGAGGGUGAACGGCCACAUUGGGACUGAGACACGGCCCAGACUCCUACGGGAGGCAGCAGUGGGGAAUAUUGCACAAUGGGGGAAACCCUGAUGCAGCGACGCCGCGUGAAGGAAGAAGUAUCUCGGUAUGUAAACUUCUAUCAGCAGGGAAGAUAGUGACGGUACCUGACUAAGAAGCCCCGGCUAACUACGUG